rnacentral:rRNA from 1 species
ACAAAGAGAGUAGCGCACUGGUGAGUAACACGUGGGAACGUACCUUGAAGUGGGGAAGUAGCGUCUGGAAACGGACGAUAAUACCGCAUAAUCCCUGAGGGGGAAAGAUUUAUCGCUUUAAGAACGGCCCGCGGAAGAUUAGGUAGUUGGUGGGGUAAAGGCCUACCAAGCCUACGAUCUAUAGCUGGUCUGAGAGGACGAUCAGCCACAUUGGAACUGAGACACGGUCCAAACUCCUACGGGAGGCAGCAG